GGGAACAGACGGCCCCGUAACACGGGCCGCCCCCGCCAGAGGACCCCCUAACUCUGUUUCUAUAAUGUUUCUUCUGAGUAAAACAAGCAAAUAAAUUAAAACUUUCAACAACGGAUCUCUUGGCUCUGGCAUCGAUGAAGAACGCAGCGAAAUGCGAUAAGUAAUGUGAAUUGCAGAAUUCAGUGAAUCAUCGAAUCUUUGAACGCACAUUGCGCCCGCCAGUAUUCUGGCGGGCAUGCCUGUUCGAGCGUCAUUACAACCCUCAGGCCCCCGGGCCUGGCGUUGGGGAUCGGCGGAGCCCCCCGCGGGCACACGCCGUCCCCCAAAUACAGUGGCGGUCCCGCCGCAGCUUCCAUUGCGUAGUAGCUAACACCUCGCAACUGGAGAGCGGCGCGGCCACGCCGUAAAACCCCCAACUUCUGAACGUUGACCUCGAAUCAGGUAGGAAUACCCGCUGAACUUAAGCAUAUCAAUAAGCGGAGGAAAAGAAACCAACAGGGAUUGCCCUAGUAACGGCGAGUGAAGCGGCAACAGCUCAAAUUUGAAAUCUGGCUCUCGGGCCCGAGUUGUAAUUUGUAGAGGAUGCUUUUGGUGAGGUGCCUUCCGAGUUCCCUGGAACGGGACGCCACAGAGGGUGAGAGCCCCGUCUGGUUGGACACCGAUCCUCUGUAAAGCUCCUUCGACGAGUCGAGUAGUUUGGGAAUGCUGCUCUAAAUGGGAGGUAUAUGUCUUCUAAAGCUAAAUACCGGCCAGAGACCGAUAGCGCACAAGUAGAGUGAUCGAAAGAUGAAAAGAACUUUGAAAAGAGAGUUAAAAAGUACGUGAAAUUGUUGAAAGGGAAGCGCUUGUGACCAGACUUGGGCUUGGUUGAUCAUCCAGGGUUCUCCCUGGUGCACUCUUCCGGCCCAGGCCAGCAUCAGUUCGCCCCGGGGGAAAAAGGCUUCGGGAAUGUGGCUCUCUCCGGGGAGUGUUAUAGCCCGUUGCGUAAUACCCUGUGGCGGACUGA
rnacentral:rRNA from 1 species